CAAUAACUUAGUUCAAAAAGCUUUUGAAAUGACUACAUUAGUGUUCAUGCCAAUAUAGUACCUUUGGAACAAUGAUACAUCAAUAGGAACCAAGUAAUAGACUUUCUAUACAAUAACGAUGUAAUAAAGACUCAUUGGUACAUCAACAAUGUGUUUCAGAAUCAUCAAUAUCACAACAAUGAAAUAGGAGCCUUUUGGUAUAUCAAUGAAACAUUUUGACACUUUAUAGAAUGGAAACAACUUCGUUGGUAAUGUAGAACAAUACAUGUUUUUGGACAACCUCGGAAUCUUACUUGAUGGAACAUUGGUGUUUUCAUGCCAAAGAACAUUGUUAGAGUAUGCUUUACAUACC
rnacentral:lncRNA from 1 species